AUGGCCCAGCGCAACGCGAGCGCUGUUCCCUGUGGAGGGGAAACGGCUCCUGGGGCUCCUUCAGGAGCGAGGCCUGCGCCCGGCAAGCGCCGUCUGCAUAGAGGCCCACGGCUCUCCGCGGCUGGCCCCGGCUGCAGGGCUUCUCCAGUCCGUGUGCCAGGACGGGAGGCGGGUGGGCCCUGGGAGGGUGACCGGCAUUUUCCCGGAAGGGCAGGGGCCCCUGGAUCCUGUAUUAGGUACUGUCCAGGGCCGCCCGUCCCCAAGGAGAGAGGAACUUUGCCCUGCGGGCCUCAGGGCGGAAGGUUCCCGGGUGUGGCCGCUACGGCCGCUGUGGGGCCCCUCCCGCCCCCCGGGCGGCCCCAGCCCGUCCGUCCGCCCGCCCGGCCUCGCCCCCCCCGCAGGCCCCGCCCCCCCGCAGGCCCCCGCCGCCGCCGGGGCUGCCCUCCCGAGCGCCUGCCGGGGCGCGGCGUAGCCGUCCGGUUCCUGGCUCGGGGCCGCGGCGCCGCCCGCCGCUGCCGAGCUCUGGGCCGCGGGCGCCGGCGCCUCCCGCGGGGCGCGUGGUGGUGUGGCGCGGCGGGCGGGGCAGGCGGCGGGCGGGGCGGCCCCGGCGCGCCGGGGUCCUGCGCGGCGGCGGCGGCGGGCGGGCGGAUCGGUGUCUCCUUCACUUCGCCCUCCAGUGCCCGCGGCUGCAGCAGCGCGGCCUCCGCACGGCCCCACCCGGCAGCCACCGGCCCCGGCCUCGCUCCGACGCCCGCCCGCGACACGCAGGUGCCGGUCUCGGCCGCGACCGGCCCCGCGGGGCAAGGGGGGGCGGGCGGGGCUCGCCCGGCGGCAAACGGGUCUGGGGCCGCGUGGGCCGGGGGUGGCGGGGCCGCGGGCGAGUCCCAGCGCUCCCGGGUUCGGCGGGGCGGGCGGGGGGCUCUCCGCGCGCGCUGCCCUCGCGGCCCCGCGGCCGGGCUCGGGUGCGCGAGGCGCCGAGGACGGGAGGGUCAGGCCGGGAUGCCCAAGAUGGCCGCGCCGAGCGGGUCGGUUCACCUUGCGGCGGGGCGGGCGGCGCGCCUGGCGCUGGGCCUGGGGCCACCGCUCGGCCCGGCCCGGCCCUGCCCUGCCCUUCCCGGGCUGCGGCCGCAUCCCCUCUCUCCCUUCGCUGCCCUUCCACUCUGGGAGGCGCUGCUUUACUACCCCCGCUAUCGCUUCCUGAGCCCGAAGUCCAUUUCCAGACCUUGUCCUUAA
ensembl:lncRNA